rnacentral:rRNA from 1 species
GACGAACGCUGGCGGCGUGCCUAACACAUGCAAGUCGAGCGAGGAACUUCGGUUCCUAGCGGCGGACGGGUGAGUAACACGUGGGCAACCUGCCUUGUAGAGGGGGAUAGCCUUCCGAAAGGAAGAUUAAUACCGCAUAACAUCACGAAAUCGCAUGGUUUUGUGAUCAAAGGAGCAAUCCGCUACAAGAUGGGCCCGCGGCGCAUUAGCUAGUUGGUGAGGUAACGGCUCACCAAGGCGACGAUGCGUAGCCGACCUGAGAGGGUGAUCGGCCACAUUGGAACUGAGAAACGGUCCAGACUCCUACGGGAGGCAGCAGUGGGGAAUAUUGCACAAUGGGGGAAACCCUGAUGCAGCAACGCCGCGUGAGUGAUGAAGGCCUUCGGGUUGUAAAGCUCUGUCUUCAGGGACGAUAAUGACGGUACCUGAGGAGGAAGCCACGGCUAGCUACGUGCCAGCCGCCGCCGUAACAC